rnacentral:rRNA from 1 species
AUUGAACGCUGGCGGCAGGCUUAACACAUGCAAGUCGAACGAGUGGCGGACGGGUGAGUAAUGCUUGGGAAUCUGGCUUAUGGAGGGGGAUAACGACGGGAAACUGUCGCUAAUACCGCGUACCAUAGGAUGAGCCCAAGUGGGAUUAGGUAGUUGGUGGGGUAAAGGCCUACCAAGCUGACGAUCUCUAGCAGGUCUGAGCGGCUGACCAGCCACACCGGGACUGAGACACGGCCCAGACUCCUACGGGAGGCAGCAGUGGGGAAUAUUGCGCAAUGGGUGCAACCCUGACGCAGCCAUGCCGCGUGUAUGAAGAAGGCCUUCGGGUUGUAAAGUACUUUCAGCGGGGAGGCGUUACCCGCAGAGGAAGCACCGGCUAACUCCGUGCCAGCAGCCGCGGUAAUUC